AUAUUUUCUUGAUGACAUAUGGGAGCAUGUGCAGCAAAAGUUUGAUGUUGAUACUUGUCAUAGAAAAUACAUCAUGCAAAAAAUG